rnacentral:lncRNA from 1 species
GGUUGGUUGCUGAAAUCUCUACUUUCCUAUUUCUCUUUCGUCUUAUGCUAGCAAUAUGAGAGAGCUAAAGACUGUAAGAGCUGCUAAAGAACGUAUGAAGAAGUUUUAAGGUUUAUUUUGGAACUUUUAUUUACAGGAUGAAGGUACCUCGUUCCCAACAUCGGUUUGGGACGUAUGUUUUUAUAGACUUCUUGUGCAAACUAUACGGACUUGAAAUUUUUUACUCAAAGUCCGUGGAAAUGACAUGUUAAUUUUACGGACUUAAGACCUACUGAAAUCCGUAACUAUAGAUUCUAAAAACAUCAAAUCAAUAUGGUCAGGCUAUACAAUGUGGCCGACAACUAAUAAAAGCUUUAUCAGCUUUAUGACCGAUCUAUACAAUAUGGUCAAAAUAGCUUUACAAAAUGGCCAAAAAAUGUCGAAUCAUGUUUGCAAAAAAUUAUCCUUCCAUCAUAUUUUCGAUGUUGCUCAUUUCUUCUGGUCCCAUUGUUUCCCAAUAAUGAUCAUCAUUAUAUUCUUCAUCUGCUUCGAUAUCCAAAUGCUUUGC